rnacentral:rRNA from 1 species
GAUGAACGCUAGCGAUAGGCCUAACACAUGCAAGUCGAGGGGCAGCAUGAUUGUAGCAAUACAAUUGAUGGCGACCGGCGCACGGGUGAGUAACACGUAUGCAACCUACCUACAACAGGGGAAUAACCCGGAGAAAUUCGGACUAAUACCGCAUAACAUAGGGAUUCCGCAUGGAAAUAUUUGUUAAAGAUUUAUCGGUUGUAGAUGGGCCUGCGUUCCAUUAGCCGGUUGGUGAGGUAACGGCUCACAAAAGCAACGAUGGAUAGGGGAACUGAGAGGUUUAUCCCCCACACUUGAAAUGAGACACGGACCAGACUCCUACGGGAGGAAGCAGUGAGGAAUAUUGGUCAAUGGGCUAGAGCCUGAACCAGCCAAAUCGCGUGAAGGACGACUGCCCGAUGGGUUGUAAACUUCUUUUAUAUGGGAAUAAAAAGGGGAACGUGUUCCCCAUUGCAAGUACCAUACGAAUAAGCAUCGGCUAACUCCGUGCCAGCAGCCGCAGUAA